rnacentral:rRNA from 1 species
GAGGAGAGACGGGCUAAGGGGACCAGCGGAGGGGGGUGCGGGCGGCGGCGGUCGGGCUUUGGGAUCGAGGGAGGGAGCGCGCUAGUCUAGGCGGGUGGGAGGGAGUGAGAAGCGCGAGUUUAGGCGGGAGGGAGGGAGUGAGAAGCGCGACCUUUGGGAUCGGCGGCCCGGUACCACUGUCUGCCGCUGUUGCUGCUGCCACCGAUGGAACUGCUACCACGCCGGUCGUCGUCUUCGUGGUGGUACGGGAGGGAAGGAGGUUGGGAUCACUAGGCCGGUACAACCGCCGCCGGUCUAGACGUGGCCCUGUCCUGGACGAACACGAGCACUCCUCUCCGUACGGUACCUCGUCGAGCAGUUCCUGUCCAGGCUGGGAAGGGAAGGGAAGCAAGAUACGUCAAUUAGGUUCCCAAUAUACAAGAUAUAACCUCAUGAGACGUAAGUUUAAUAAAGUACACAAUAUAAUACUCUAACUACAAGAAUUUUAUACAUAAGAGUUAUUAUCAUGUUUUAUGUACAGACACGAGGGUACCUAGGUCCUUCAUAUUCUACUUGAGCUAUUAGAGGUUAACCAAAGUAAUAACGACAGGGCCAGGAGUACUCGCCUAUUAGAAAGAUGUUGCUCAUCUACCCCCAUGUACCAAACCCAAAGAGACGUCUUGACUUUAUCAAAAGGCUAAUGUGUGAAAUAGUCUUGGCUCUGUGUCCAUCCGAGACCCAACACGGUAGUGUAAUCACUUUUAUCUACAUGUUACGGUUAAUCAUAAAACAAACAACGAAGUAGUAGGGAGUGUUUGAAAGUCCAAACCAUAAGGACGAAAAUACUAUAUGAAUUACUAACUCCUUCCUAGAUACGUUAGCUUUGUCUACGGAACAAGAGUAACUACAGUACUAUGCGACACUCCGUUAAGGAACGGUAACCGGUACAAUCCAGCAAUAAUAGAUACGUGUAUCCUCCGAAGACAAAAAAAUAUAUAAAUACCCGACUAAUUAAUACCCGAAAACCCAAUCAUAGGAAAACCUUUUACGUGACAUAAAGUUAAGGACAAAACAUAGUAAGUUCUAAGAAGGAAACUACAAUAAAACGACGACCAGUGCGAGGAUUACCGUAAACAAUUAUGUACAUAGGUACCAAAAGAACACAAUACUAAAUAGAAAGGAUGUCGGUUGUGUAAAAAAAGAGAACCGGCUGAACGACGAACGUAUGUACUGUCUAUACGUAGGUACCACUUCAAUGAUAUAUUCAUAUCCCAGUUCGUGACGGGGCUGUAUGUAGAUAAAACUCAAAAAGGAGUUUCAGGGUACCGGUACAACGACCAUCUCAACCUCCCAUAUAUGACGACACUAGAAUGAAGAUAUACCGGUACAUUUGGAGUGACGAAACGUGAAAAAACUAUUUGGCCAUAUACUCAAACAUUGAAGAAAGAGAAGAGAGAACUUGACAAAUAAACGUCGUUGCGGGAACUAAAACUUUAACCUCUUCCUUCUACCUAUUGUCUCAAGUCAUGUCAUUCCUACGAGAUGUUAUAUCCUUAGGUCUGUUCCUGCUACUCGUUAUGUGCUGGGGUGCCGGCUCGGCUACUGGUUGGUGGUCCCUUCACCUGUACACUUAUUCCCUACCUCUUCGUUACAACUAACCAACGUGCCUCGAUGUCAGUUGGACUACACCACAAAAUUAGAGGAACUGUAUCUCUCAUCAACACACACCAAAGGAAAGCUCAUCGUAUCAACCUCAAAUCGUACACACACAUCUCGACUACCAGCACUCCGAUUAAGACCCUCAUCAUGUACUGACCUUCUCCGGGUCGAUCUAUACUAUGAAACACUACCAAAUUAGAUGAAACACUAGAGUAUACGUUGUGAAACACUAUGGGAUACUAUAUAUAUACCUGUAAACGAUGCCAAACAAAACAAAGAU